GACGAACGCUGGCGGCGUGCUUAACACAUGCAAGUCGAACGGUGAAGCUCCAGCUUGCUGGAGUGGAUCAGUGGCGAACGGGUGAGUAACACGUGAGCAACCUGCCCCUGACUCUGGAAUAAGCGCUGGAAACGGCGUCUAAUACUGGAUACGAGAAGGGUCCGCAUGGGCACAUUCUGGAAAGUUUUUCGGUUGGGGAUGGGCUCGCGGCCUAUCAGCUUGUUGGUGAGGUAAUGGCUCACCAAGGCGACGACGGGUAGCCGGCCUGAGAGGGCGACCGGCCACACUGGGACUGAGACACGGCCCAGACUCCUACGGGAGGCAGCAGUGGGGAAUAUUGCACAAUGGGCGAAAGCCUGAUGCAGCGACGCCGCGUGAGGGAUGACGGCCUUCGGGUUGUAAACCUCUUUCAGCAGGGAAGAAGCGAAAGUGACGGUACCUGCAGAAGAAGCACCGGCUAACUACGUG
rnacentral:rRNA from 1 species